UGCCGAGCCCUUCGUUCAGCUGGGGAAGGGUCUGGCAGCUUCCUCCAGAACAGCGAGACGAUUGUUACCAAUAGCCGCCUCACACAGUAAUAGCCGACAGCCAAGCCCCGUUGUGAGCACUCUUAUGUACAACUUUUAAGUCUUCGCUACGGUCCAGAGCUGGGGAUUCUUCUUCCCGUUUCGGAGGGGCUGAUGUUGGAGGAGGAGGCACAGGGAGGGGAGUAACUCGCCCAGAGCUACACAGCUGUCCGAGGUGGGGCCGUGGAUGGAGACGGGCUGUUCUGGAUCCAGCUUCUACUGCCUCUCAUGGUGGGCUCGUGGAUAGGGCCCAGGCCCAGCCCAAGACUGAAAGAGGAGAGUGGAGAUUUCCUAGUGCCUUGUUGACACACACUGGGUGCUCAGUAAAUCAUCGCUGAAGGAAGGGCUGGAGUGUCCUGCGAGCUUCUAAAAAGUAUUUAGCAACGGCAGCUGGAGGUGGACUGAUCUGUGACCCCUGCUCACCUGCGUUCCUGUGGCCCGUGAGAGGUUUGAGCUCAACUGUUAGCACCAGAGAGAAACCUAAACCGACCACCUUCAGCGUCUCUUUGACCUCGUCCUGUUUCAUAUCUCCAGAGCUCCCGUCGUGAUCUCAGGUGCAGCAUCUGGCCCCAGGAGGCAGCAUGCUGGAGCAGAAAAUGUUAAGCAUGUGGAGCCAGACAGAUCUGGGUUUGGAUUCUUGUUUUACUAGUUCCCAGGGAUUCUUGCAUGGUGCACUACCUGUCUGGGCACCUAUGUUUUCACUCCCUGCCUCCCAGCCCUUGUUGGCAAUACCUGGGACUGAAGAACUUGGCUCCAGGAUGUCCAUGAGGGUGUAUUCUACUGGAAUAUCAGGUAGUUCCCAGAACUGUGAGAGAGUCUUCUUUUUCUUCCGUAAAAUUGCAAACUGACGGAAUUUGUUGGCGUUCAGCAGGUGUUUCACAGGUGUCAGGUCUUUGUCUCCGAGCUCUUUGACCAAAUUCUUACUGAUAUUCUCAAACAUGGAGGACAUGUUUCUAGGGACAGAUAGAAGGGGAGUACAGAUUUCAGUGGAGAUGGGGAAGAAAGUGGGUAAGCUGUCACAGAGCUUGAUGUUUUUCCUAAGGGAGAGGACAUAUAUGUGAGAUUAACUUAGGUCUUAGAGUAGUGACUAAAUCAUACUUUCUCAAUUUUGAUAUUCUAAACACAGCCUGGGCUUUGGAGGGAAGCACUGCUGUGAAGUUCAUUGCUCUUUAUGGCUAGAAUAGAAAAGCCUGUGUAUCUCCCCACCCCCAAGCCAAGGGCACCCUCCAGGCCCAGAAAGUGCUCAAUGCUAUCG